rnacentral:rRNA from 1 species
UUAAGUGAACAAGGGCAUACGGCGGAUGCCUUGGCGCCAAGAGCCGAUGAAGGACGCGGUAAGCUGCGAAAAGGCAUGGGUAGGAGCAAGCAUCCUGUGAUCCAUGCAUAUCCGAAUGGGGCAACCCACCAUCAGUCAUGUGAUGGUACGAAAGAGGCAGACCUGGGGAACUGAAACAUCUAAGUACCCAGAGGAAAAGUAAUCAAUUGAGAUUCCCUAAGUAGCGGCGAGCGAAAGGGGAAGAGCCCAAACCAUGAAACUUCGGUUUUGUGGGGUUGAGGACCGGCAAAAAGAGGAAACUUCUUAGUCGAAUGGUUUGGAAAGGCCAUGCACAGAAGGUAAAACACCUGUAGGCGAAAAGAAGUCAAUCGGGCUGGUAUCCAGAGUACUGCGAGACACGUGAAACCUUGCAGGAAGCAGGGGGGACCACCCUCCAAGGCAAAAUACUACUUGGCGACCGAUAGCGCAUAGUACCGUGAGGGAAAGGUGAAAAGAACCCCGGGAGGGGAGUGAAAUAGAACCUGAAACCGUAUGUCUACAAGCAGUCGAAGCACCUUAAGAGUGCGACGGCGUGCCUAUUGAAGAAUGAACCGGCGAGUUACAUUAUGUUGCGAGGUUAAGUGGGAGACACGGAGCCGAAGCGAAAGCGAGUCUUAAUAGGGCGACUAGUAACAUGGUGUAGACCCGAAACCGCAGUGAUCUAUCCAUGGUCAGGUUGAAGCGCAGGUAAAAAUGCGUGGAGGACCGAACCCGUGAGUGUUGAAAAACUUUGGGAUGAACCGUGGAUAGGGGUGAAAUGCCAAUCGAACGCGGAGAUAGCUGGUACUCCCCGAAAUAGCUUUAGGGCUAGCCUCAGGGAAGAUUAUAGACGGUAGAGCACUGAUCUGGCAAGGGGGCGUAAAGCCUACCGACCCUAGUCAAACUUCGAAUGGCUAUAAUUAAGACCCUGGGAGUCAGACUGCGAGUGAUAAGACCCGUAGUCAAGAGGGAAACAGCCCAGACCGCCGACUAAGGUCCCCAAUGCUGUACUAAGUGGAAAAGGAUGUAAGACUUCAUAAACAACCAGGAUGUUGGCUUAGAAGCAGCCACCAUUAAAAGAGUGCGUAAUAGCUCACUGGUCGAGAGGCCUUGCGCCGAAGAUGUCCGGGGCUCAAGUACAGAACCGAAGUCGCGGCAGGAUUUAUAAUUCUGGGUAGGGGAGCGUUGUAUAUCCGACUGAAGGUGUACCGGAAGGAGCGCUGGAGGAUAUACAAGAGAGAAUGCCGGUAUGAGUAGCGAAAAGAACAGUGAGAAUCUGUUCCACCGAAAGCCUAAGGUUUCCUGAGCAACGCUCGUCGACUCAGGGUAAGUCGGGACCUAAGCCGAGGCAAAAAGCAUAGGCGAUGGACAACAGGUUAAUAUUCCUGUACCGCUUCAAAUCGUUUGAGCAAUGGAGUGACACAGAAGGUAGCUUGAGCACGCGAAUGGAUGUGCGUGUCGAAGGUGGUAGAUUGCAGUAUAGGCAAAUCCGUACUGUAUAAGAUCGAGAACUGAUAGAUAGACGAUACUUCGGUAAAGUCAAAUUCAAGUGAGCCAUGCUGUCGAGAAAAGCUUCUAGUGAGAGAUGAGGCGCCCGUACCGAAACCGACACAGGUAGGCGGGGAGAGAAUCCUAAGGUGCGCGGGACAACCCUCGUUAAGGAACUCGGCAAAUUGUAUCCGUAACUUAGGGAUAAGGAUAGCCGGAGGAUGUGAAGGGAUUUACUUCUGGAGCGUCAGCCGGUGGCACAAGAGAGGCCCAAGCGACUGUUUAGCACAAACACAGGUGCCUGCAAAAGAGAAAUCUGACGUAUAGGUGCUGACACCUGCCCGGUGCUGGAAGGUUAAGAGGAGGGCUUAGAGGCAACUCGAAGGCUUGAAUUGAAGCCCCAGUAAACGGCGGCCGUAACUAUAACGGUCCUAAGGUAGCGAAAUUCCUUGUC